AGCUUUGCGCAGUGACAGUAUCGUAGCCAAUGAGGUUUAUCCGAGGCGCGAUUAUUGCUAAAAUUGAGAAUAUUUAAUAUUUUAAUAAUAAAAAAUAAAUAACACGUUAU
rfam:Canis lupus familiaris chromosome 21, whole genome shotgun sequence.